UUGUUGAGAGCUGCAGCCUGAGCCUUGCACCCCUUUCCACACCCCUAGGAGAACUCAGACAACAGGGCAGAUGCACAGGGAGGGGCAUCAUUCACACCACCAGAUUUUCCAAGCCUUCUCUCCAAAGGGCUGUACUCACAGUCAGCUGGGAAUUCUCAUUCGUGUCCCACCACGAAGGCAGAUGAGACCAGGCUUUUGCUCAUGCUAGACCACUCCAAGAAACUUGCCCACAGUACACCAUCCUCAUCUGUGCAAUCCCAAACCAGUUCCUGCACCUCACUCAGGCGGCAUCCCAGUGCAUCUUGGUUGUCUCCAAGAGUAGCAGAUGUUCUACUUCAAAUAACCCACAGAUAAUCCCCAAUCUCCUCAAUGAGCUCAGGAGUGUUGGGAAGUAUGUACCACUCAGAUCAAAAGUGAACCCAAUUACAGCCAUGCCACUGCCUUUUCCCCCCUUUGGGAAGGUGGAGUGAGUCACAGCAGACAACACUCGGUUCCUCUGGCUGGCUCUCAGGGUUGUGGUUUCCAGCGAUAAAUUCAGCCUGUGGGCAAUUUACUGAGGAAUUACAUCGUGUGGUGUACAAGUCCUUCCACCAACAUUCAAGCCCCAGGAACUGAUGAGGUUCAGUGCAGAGCAUUCAGAUUUGGUUUCUUUUUAAUAACACUUACUGAACGUGAACAGCUUUAAUAAUCCCCAGCAGUCAUUAAAAUCUUUUCAUCUUCAAA